UUUUAUUUGAGAGUUUGAUCCUGGCUCAGGAUGAACGCUGGCGGCGUGCCUAACACAUGCAAGUUGAGCGAUUUACUUCGGUAAAGAGCGGCGGACGGGUGAGUAACGCGUGGGUAACCUACCCUGUACACACGGAUAACAUACCGAAAGGUAUGCUAAUACGGUAUUUGAGAGUUUGAUCCUGGCUCAGGAUGAACGCUGGCGGCGUGCCUAACACAUGCAAGUUGAGCGAUUUACUUCGGUAAAGAGCGGCGGACGGGUGAGUAACGCGUGGGUAACCUACCCUGUACACACGGAUAACAUACCGAAAGGUAUGCUAAUACGGGAUAAUAUAUUUGAGAGGCAUCUCUUAAAUAUCAAAGGUGAGCCAGUACAGGAUGGACCCGCGUCUGAUUAGCUAGUUGGUAAGGUAACGGCUUACCAAGGCGACGAUCAGUAGCCGACCUGAGAGGGUGAUCGGCCACAUUGGAACUGAGACACGGUCCAAACUCCUACGGGAGGCAGCAGUGGGGAAUAUUGCACAAUGGGCGAAAGCCUGAUGCAGCAACGCCGCGUGAGUGAUGAAGGCCUUCGGGUC
rnacentral:rRNA from 1 species